GGGAUGUAUAGUCCUCUCAUGAGGCUAGUUAUGUUUAUAAAAGUAUUACGAUAUGAAUAAACAUAAUACCAACUACGUUGGAUAAAAUUCUAGGUAGAAGACUGAUUAUGACAAUUUUCUAUCUAUAUGUCUUGACCAAAUUACGUGCCAGCAGUCGCGGUAAUACGUAGAAGACUAGUGUUAUUCAUCUUUAAUAGGUUUAAAGGGUACCUAGACGGUAUAAUUAACCCACAACAGGGAAAUAUUUAAUACUAGAGUUUAAUGUAGGAAGGGAGUAUUUAGAGAGUAGGGAUGAAAUCCUUUAAUACUCUGACGACUGGUAAAGGCGAAAGCACUCUUCUAUGUAAUAACUGACGUUAAGGGACGAAGGCUUGGGGAGCGAACAGGAUUAGGUACCCUAGUAGUCCAUGCAGAUAAUUAUGAAUGCCAUAGGUUAGAUAUAUUUAGUCUAUAAAUGAAAGUGUAAGCAUUCCACCUCAAGAGUACUGUGGCAACGCUGGAACUGAAAUCAUUAGACCGUUUCUGAGAACAGUAGUGAAGUAUGUUAUAUAAUUCGAUGGUACACGUAAAACCUUACCACAACUUGAAUGGUGUCCAAAUUUAAUUAAAUAUUAAAAGCUGCCAUUGAUAACUUUAAGGUAGAUCUUGGCUAACCCUCUAGUUGCAACCCUUGGGCGGCAAAUUUCAUUUAGAACAAAGGGCUUUAGCCAAUAUUAAAUUAAUAGGAUGUUACAACGUGUUGCACGGUUGUCUUCAGCUAAUGUCGUGAGAUUUUGGUUAGUUCCAUAAAAUUAGCGUAAACCCCGGUUUUAUUUUAUAAUUCUUAUGAUAAAGCAGUUCGUCACUAUAUUGAUAUUGAUA
rnacentral:rRNA from 1 species